GACGAACGCUGGCGGCGUGCUUAACACAUGCCAGUCGAACGGAAAGGCCCUGCCUUUGUGGGGUGCUCGAGUGGCGAACGGGUGAGUAACACGUGAGUAACCUGCCCUUGACUUUGGGAUAACUUCAGGUAACUGGGGCUAAUGCUGGCUAGGAGCUCCUACUGCUUGGUGGGGGUUGGAAAGUUUCGGCGGUUGGGGAUGGACUCGCGGCUUAUCAGCUUGUUGGUGGGGUAGUGGCUUACCAAGGCUUUGACGGGCAGCCGGCCUGAGAGGGUGACCGGCCACAUUGGCACUGAGGAGCGGGCCAGACUCCUACGGGAGGCAGCGGUGGAGAAUAUUGCACGAAGGGCGGAAGCCGGAUGCAGGAACGCCGCGUAGGGGAUGACUGCCUUCGGGUAGUAAACCGCUUUCGCCUGUGACGAAGCGUGAGUGACGGUAAUGGGUAAAGAAGGACCGGCUAACUACGUG
rnacentral:rRNA from 1 species